UCCCUUGGAUAAUCGCUUUUACUCAUCGCGGGGAAGAGGGGUUGUAAGGGAAAGCACUCUUUAUAAAAAGUAAAAUAGAAUUCACGCUGAGAUUUUUAUCCUACAAUUCAAGGUCCAGAACCCGAAACUGUUUCAAGACAAGAAUUCCAGAUGAAGACCUGUAUCAUCCUCUUUGUGUUGGUAACGCUGACCACCUACUGCAGUGGACGCACCCGGUGGCGCAUAAUCGAGUAUGAUGUAGAAGUAGAAAGGACAACGGCUUACAAAAAGUGCACGACGGAAUGCCUAAAGAGAUGCCAAGAUUCUGAACCGUGCAGAAUUAAAACGCAAAAUGAUCCUGCCACGCUCUGCCGGGAAGGUUCGGACGACGGUUUCACGGUGGAUGGCAAACCAUUCGAUGGGUGUGAGCGCCUCAUCUCGCAUCCGGCCCCCCAAACUGACGAACCGAAGCGUCCAUUUGAAGUGGCUGAUCUGUGGAAGUUGUUCGAAGCAAAGUAAACUUGCAUGUAGGAAAAAAUGUUUCUUUAGUUGAAAACAGCAGCGAGAACAAUAUCGAGUUCUUUCAGCAGCAGUUGCUAGGCUGGAAAUUGUAUCUCACAAGUGGAAAAUGUUUUUCUUCAGUUGUAGAAUUAUAGUGAAAUGUUUAAAGCAUUUGCCAUGCCACUGUUUUUUUUUGUGUUUUUAAGGAAUUAAGACUCCGCUUAAACGUUUGGUUGUAACUAUGAACCUAAGAGAUCUUCUUAUUAAAUGAAUGAAUGGGA